ACAGAGGGUGCGAGCGUUAAUCGGAAUUACUGGGCGUAAAGCGCACGUAGGCGGCUUGGUAUGUCGGGUGUGAAAUCCCCGGGCUCAACCUGGGAACUGCAUUUGAUACUGGCGGGCUUGAGUUCCGGAGAGGAUGGUGGAAUUCCCAGUGUAGAGGUGAAAUUCGUAGAUAUUGGGAAGAACACCGGUGGCAAAGGCGGCCAUCUGGACGGACACUGACGCUGAGGCGCGAAAGCGUGGGGAGCAAACAGGA
rnacentral:rRNA from 1 species